rnacentral:snRNA from 1 species
GUGUUCGCUUUGGCAGCAUGCGUAUUAAAAUGGGACCAAUACAGAGAAGAUUAGGAUGGCCCCAGUGCAACGAUGACACACAAAUUUGUGAAGUGUUUAAUUUAAAA